AUCCAGCUUCCUAGAAAAGCUCUAACCACGUUAAUCUUUAGUUGCCUGUACCCGAAACCGACACAGGUAGGGGGGUAGAGAAUACCAAGGGGCGCGAGAUAACUCUCUCUAAGGAACUCGGCAAAAUGACCCCGUAACUUCGGGAGAAGGGGUACCACUGAGAAGUGGUCGCAGUGAAGAGGCCCAGGCGACUGUUUACCAAAAACACAGGUCUCCGCCAAGUCGCAAGACGAAGUAUGGGGGCUGACGCCUGCCCAGUGCCGGAAGGUUAAGGAAGUGGGUUAGGGAUUCGUCCCGAAGCUGACGACUGAAGCCCCGGUGAACGGCGGCCGUAACUAUAACGGUCCUAAGGUAGCGAAAUUCCUUGUCGGGUAAGUUCCGACCCGCACGAAAGGCGUAACGAUCUGGGCGCUGUCUCGGAGAGAGGCUCGGCGAAAUAGGAUUGUCUGUGAAGAUACGGACUACCUGCACCUGGACAGAAAGACCCUAUGAAGCUUUACUGUAGCUUGGAAUUGGGUUCGGGCUUGGUUUGCGCAGGAUAGGUGGGAGGCGAAGAAGAUUUGCUUGUGGGUGAAUCUGAGCCAACGGUGAGAUACCACUCUAACCAGGCUAGAAUUCUAACUUCAACCCGUCAACCGGGGGAAGGACAGUUUCAGGUGGGCAGUUUGACUGGGGCGGUGCCUCCUAAAAGAUAACGGAGGCGCACAAAGGUUCCCUCAGGCUGGUUGGAAAUCAGCCAACGAGUGCAAAGGCAGAAGGGAGCUUGACUGCGAGACCUACAAGUCAAGCAGGGUGGAAACACGGUCUUAGUGAUCCGACGGCACCGAGUGGAAGGGCCGUCGCUCAACGGAUAAAAGUUACUCUAGGAUAACAGGCUGAUCUCCCCCAAGAGUUCACAUCGACGGGGAGGUUUGGCACCUCGAUGUCGGCUCAUCGCAACCUGGGGCGGAAGUACGUCCCAAGGGUUGGGCUGUUCGCCCAUUAAAGCGGUACGUGAGCUGGGUUCAGAACGUCGUGAGACAGUUCGGUCCAUAUCCGGUGUAGGCGCAGGAACAUUGAGAGGAGUCUUCCUUAGUACGAGAGGACCGGGAAGAACGCACCGCUGGUGUACCUGUUAUCGUGCCAACGGUAAACGCAGGGUAGCCAAGUGCGGAGUGGAUAACUGCUGAAAGCAUCUAAGUGGGAAGCCCACCUCAAGAUGAGUGUUCUCAUGGAGUAAUCCAGUAAGGUCACGGGAAGACGACCCGUUGAUAGGCGGUAGGUGGAAGUUCAGCAAUGGAUGAAGCCGAGCCGUACUAACAGACCGAGGGCUUGAC
rnacentral:rRNA from 1 species